rnacentral:tRNA from 1 species
GCGGUCGUGGUGGAAUUGGUAGACACGCUACUUUGAGGGGGUAGUGGGCGUCAGCCUGUGUCGGUUCGAGUCCGACCGACCGCA